UCGUUGGUGUUCGGGCCUACCAGGCGAUUACGGGUAGCCGGCCUGAGAGGGCGACCGGCCACACUGGGACUGAGACACGGCCCAGACUCCUGCGGGAGGCAGCAGUGGGGAAUAUUGCGCAAUGGGCGAAAGCCUGACGCAGCGACGCCGCGUGGGGGAUGACGGCCUUCGGGUUGUAAACCUCUUUUACCACUCACGCAGGCCCCACGUUUUCGUGGGGUUGACGGUAGGUGGGGAAUAAGGACCGGCUAACUACGUGCCAGCAGCCGCGGUAAUACGUAGGGUCCGAGCGUUGUCCGGAAUUAUUGGGCGUAAAGAGCUCGUAGGCGGCGUGUCGCGUCUGCUGUGAAAGACCGGGGCUUAACCCCGGUUCUGCAGUGGAUACGGGCAUGCUAGAGGUAGGUAGGGGAGACUGGAAUUCCUGGUGUAGCGGUGAAAUGCGCAGAUAUCAGGAGGAACACCGGUGGCGAAGGCGGGUCUCUGGGCCUUACCUGACGCUGAGGAGCGAAAGCAUGGGGAGCGAACAGGAUUAGAUACCCUGGUAGUCCAUGCCGUAAACGUUGGGCGCUAGGUGUGGGGACUUUCCACGGUUUCCGCGCCGUAGCUAACGCAUUAAGCGCCCCGCCUGGGGAGUACGGCCGCAAGGCUAAAACUCAAAGGAAUUGACGGGGGCCCGCACAAGCGGGCGGAGCAUGUUGCUUAAUUCGACGCAACGCGAAGAACCUUACCAAGGUUUGACAUCACCCGUGGACCUGUAGAGAUACAGGGUCAUUUGGUUGGCGGGUGAACAGGUGGUGCAUGGCUGUCGUCCAGCUCCGUAAAAAAAAGGAAAAGAAUUGUUUUGGGGGAUUAGGUUCCCGCAACGGAGCGCAACCCUUGUUCCAUGUUGCCAGCACGUAAUGGUGGGGACUCAUGGGAGACUGCCGGGGUCAACUCGGAGGAAGGUGGGGACGACGUCAAGUCAUCAUGCCCCUUAUGUCUUGGGCUGCAAACAUGCUACAAUGGCCGGUACAAUGGGCGUGCGAUACCGUGAGGUGGAGCGAAUCCCUAAAAGCCGGUCUCAGUUCGGAUUGGGGUCUGCAACUCGACCCCAUGAAGGUGGAGUCGCUAGUAAUCGCGGAUCAGCAACGCCGCGGUGAAUACGUUCCCGGGCCUUGUACACACCGCCCGUCACGUCAUGAAAGUCGGCAACACCCGAAACUUGUGGCCUAACCCUUCGGGGAGGGAGUGAGUGAAGGUGGGGCUGGCGAUUGGGACGAAGUCGUAACAAGGUAGCCGUACCGGAAGGUGCGGCUGGAUCACCUCCUU
rnacentral:rRNA from 1 species